UUCCGCCCGGGCGCAUUGUAGCCCCGCGGACAGCUGGGCCAGGGUGCGGGCCUGCGCCUCCCUCGGCUCCUGGCGCGGGCCUCGGGGAGAGGGGUGGAAAAUGUCUAUGGAUGUGACAUUUCUGGGGACGGGUGCGGCAUACCCAUCUCCAACCCGGGGUGCCUCUGCUGUGGUCCUUCGGUGUGAAGGCGAGUGCUGGCUCUUUGACUGUGGGGAGGGAACACAGACACAGCUUAUGAAAAGCCAACUUAAAGCAGAAUUCCCUCAUUUGGGUUUUCAGUCGUGGAAAAGAAACGCCCAGGUAAACUCAAUGCACAGAAACUUAAAGACCUUGGUUAUCCUGAAUACAUGUCUAACAAUUUUCCUUGCAACGUUAGCUGUUGUUUUUCACUGUUUCCAGAGGAUCAAAAUUGCUUCAGAGAUUGGAGACAUAAUUGAUUUAAAAGGAAAAACUUGAACAAAUGGACAAUAUGUCUAUUACCAAUACACCAACAAGUAAUGAUGCCUGUCUGAGCAUUGUGCAUAG
rnacentral:sRNA from 1 species